UUAACACAUGCAAGUCGAACGGAGAUACAUGGAGGAGAGCUCGGCAGGAAUCCGGCGUAUCUUAGUGGCGGACGGGUGAGUAACGCGUGAGCAACCUGUCCCAGACGAGGGGGAUAACACUUGGAAACAGGUGCUAAUACCGCAUAAGACCACGGUGUCACAUGGCGCUGAAGGUAAAAGGAAGAAAUCCGGGUUUGGGGUGGGCUCGCGUCCGAUUAGAUAGUUGGUGAGGUAACGGCCCACCAAGUCGACGAUCGGUAGCCGACCUGAGAGGGUGAUCGGCCACAUUGGAACUGAGAGACGGUCCAAACUCCUACGGGAGGCAGCAGGUGGGGAAUAUUGGGCAAUGGGCGAAAAAGCCUGACCCAGCAACGCCGCGUGAGUGAAGAAGGCUUUCGGGUUGUAAAGCUCUGUUAUAGGGGACGAAGGAAGUGACGGUACCCUAUAAGGAAGCCCCGGCUAACUACGUGCCAGCCGCCGC
rnacentral:rRNA from 1 species